AACGAACGCUGGCGGCGUGCUUAACACAUGCAAGUCGAACGCGAAAGUUCCUUCGGGGAUGAGUAGAGUGGCGCACGGGUGAGUAAUGCAUAGGAACGUACCUAAUGGUGGGGAACAACCAAGAGAAAUUUUGGCUAAUACCGCAUGAAAUCGUGAGAUCAAAGAAGGCCUCUACUUGUAAGCUUUCGCCAUUAGAGCGGCCUAUGUCCUAUUAGCUAGUUGGUAGAGUAAAAGCCUACCAAGGCGAUGAUGGGUAACUGGUCUGAGAGGAUGAUCAGUCAAACUGGAACUGAGACACGGUCCAGACUCCUACGGGAGGCAGCAGUGGGGAAUCUUGCACAAUGGGCGAAAGCCUGAUGCAGCAACGCCGCGUGGGUGAAGAAGGUUCUUGGAUUGUAAAGCCCUUUCGGCUGGAAAGAAGGGUUUGUUAGUUAAUACCUAGCAGAUCUGACGGUACCAGAAGAAGAAGCACCGGCUAAUUUCGUGCCAGCCGCCGCAGUAAAAC
rnacentral:rRNA from 1 species